GUGCAGCAGUCGCGAAACCUCCGCAAUGCGCGAAAGCGCGACGGGGCCACCCCGAGUGCCGCCCGCUGAGGGUGGCUUUUCCCCGGUGUAGACAGCCGGGGGAAUAAGGAGAGGGCAAGUCUGGUGUCAGCCGCCGCGGUAAUACCAGCUCUCCGAGUGGUGGGGACGAUUAUUGGGCCUAAAGCGUCCGUAGCCGGCCCAGCAAGUCCUCCGUUAAAUCCAGCGAUCCAAUCGCUGGACUGCGGGGGAUACUGCUGGGCUAGGGGGCGGGGAGAGGCCGGCGGUAUUCCCGGGGUAGGGGUGAAAUCCUAUAAUCCCGGGAGGACCACCAGUGGCGAAGGCUGCCGGCUGGAACGCGCCCGACGGUGAGGGACGAAAGCCGGGGGAGCGAACCGGAUUAGAUACCCGCGUAGU
rnacentral:rRNA from 1 species